rnacentral:rRNA from 1 species
AUUGAACGCUGGCGGCCGGCCUAACACAUGCAAGUCGAACGAGUGGCGGACGGGUGAGUAAUGUCUGGGAAACUGCCUGAUGGCGGGGGAUAACUCCUGGAAACGUUAGCUAAUACCGCAUACCCUCGGAUGUGCCCAGAUGGGAUUAGCUAGUAGGUGUGGUAAAGGCUCCACUAGGCGACGAUCCCUAGCGGGUAUGAGAGGAUGACCAGAAACACUGGAACUGAGACACGGUCCAGAGUCCUACGUGAGGCAGCAGUGGGGAAUAUUGCACAAGGGGCGCAAGCCUGAUGCAGCCAUGCCGCGUGUAUGAAGAAGGCCUUAGGGUUGUAAAGUACUGUCAGCGGGGAGGCGUUACCCGCAGAAGAAGCACCGGCUAACUCCGUGCCAGCAGCCGCGGUAAUUC